AAACAGGUUUAGCAUUCUUAAACUUGCUAUUGAGAAACUAUCAAGCAUCCACUUAGCACUGAGAAGCAGGCUGUGCUAGAGUCCAGCUGAAUGGGACAAUGCCCUCCAAUGAGCACCCAGACCCAGCAGAGCCACCUGGCAGACAGCGCAACUGGGGAGCAUGUCUGAGCUGCAAGAGCCUCCAGAGGGAUUGUGAUGUUCACAGAUAAUGGCUUGUGAUUUCAGGAGCACUGGUAGUAUUUCAGCACUGUGCUGCAAGCUGCACCUUCACAACUAGUCUUGGUUGGAGAGCUGAUGGGUGUCCGAUACAAAACAUUCAGAAAAAGAAAAAUCUUCAAAGUGUGUUCCAGCAAUUCAAGUAUUGUCAUCUGACCUACUUGUGUGGAGAGGUUUAUGUUCUGGGUACACUUACCUAGCAGGAGGUUUGUUGAAAUUCCAGUGAAAUAGGAACGUUGUGCAACACGUGGCUACAGUUCCCCACUGGUUGAAAGAUUCUUGUUUAAGCCAUUGGUCUGGAGCAAUUCCAUGCAACUCGGUUUAAAGUAAACAUCCUGGAUGCAGUGUGUCAGAUACUAACACAAUAUUGUUUUAGUUUUUCUCAUUUCUCCUAUGGGAAUAAUCAUUCCAUGAAGAAGGAAAGUGAUCUAAUGAGAGAAUUAACUCAAGAGCUUGAACAUGGAAUUAAUCACAGCUGUCUGAGAGGGGAACCAAGGCAAACUCCACAGAGAGCUCACUGCAUUUCCAAGGAAGGAGGCCAAAAGAAUACUAAGACUCAGAUAGCAGCUGGUGAUCAAGACAGAGAGUUCAGUCAAAAAUGCAAGAUAAAAACCAUUUUGUCUGCGAGACUAGAAUUUCUUACAGACAGGUUAAGUCUCUAGAAGUGUUGCAAUGCCAGCUUCCAGUGCACACCUGUUGGAUUUCCAUGGCUUGCUUUCAUGUAUGCGUCAUCUCACAUCUGCGAGGUUAUUUCCAUCUUGUAAUUGCCAUCCUGGACCAGGUUGUCAGUUCGUCAGUGCUGGGGACAGGGUAAUACUAUUUGUUUCCAGUGAACACACAGAAUCUAUGUCAUAUACUCUUACAGAAUAAUCUGCCUGUAAGAAAUUCCUUCCUAAUCCUUCUUAAUUCUGUUGUUAACUUGUGCCCUGAAACAUGUUUAUAUCUUGUCUAUAACUGGUGUCCUCCUGCAACUAUGAAUGUUUUUAUUAAUUACACAAAUGUUGAAUACAGAACUUCUCAAAUAGCACACCUCUCUACAUUCAGAUCAUGAGUGAAUUUUGCUUAGGUUAUGUUAAGUUCUCAGAUUUAAAUAUUUUCCUGCGUUGUUCUGGAAAACCCUGUCUUUCUUCCCAUUUUUCUAGAGUUAGGGGUUGGUGGUGGGGAGCUGUAGUCUGCCUGCAGUUCUCAGCUGUGCAGGCAGCGUGCAUUGCUUGGAUAGCCUGGCGGAACUGGAAUUGGUGUCUUGCUUUUUGCUGGAGAAAGUGAUGCAUCAUUCUAUAAAGAUUAAUUGAUUAGUCUUAGUCAAACCUUUCCUAGAAAAUCUUACUCUUCCUGCAGUUUAUGUAACUACUUUUUUUACCCUUAUCUCUUUGUUUGCUCACAACUGGAAAACAAAGAGGUGACUGGGGAGAGCCAGCAUAUCUCCACUAAGGGCAAAUCGUGCCUUACAAAUUUGGUGUCCUUCUGUGAUGGGGUUGGUGGAUAAGGGGAGAGCAACUGACAACAUCUACGUGGACUUCUGCAAAGUAUUUGGCACUGCCCCUCAUGAAUUCCUUGUCUCUAAAUCAGAGAUACAUGGAUCUGAUGAGUGGACAACGCAGUGGAUAAGGAACCAGCUGGAUGGCUGCACUCAGACAGUUGUGGUCAGCCACUCAGUGUCCAGGUGGAGACCAGUGAUGAGUACUGAUCCUCAGGGAUUGAUACUGGGAUCGACGCUGUUUAGCAUCUCUGGGACACAGACAGUGGGACUGAGUGCACCUUAAGCAAGUCAGCUGAUAACGUGAAGCUGUCUGGUGUGGUGGACACAUUGCCAAACCUUGAUAGGAUUGAGAGGUGGGCCCGUGCUAACCUCAUUUUCUUUAGUUGUAUCAUGCUGCUUUUCAAGUGAAUCUUGAAAAAAGAAUGUUACAGAGGUGGUUAGAGAACCAGACAGGACUCAUCUUAACGACAUGUAGCCUACAUAAUGACUCGUCAUUACUGACAUUCUGUGCAGGUACAGAACAAGGUAUCCCAAAGCACUGUGCUGUCUUCCGGGCUGACAGCAUAUUGCCAGCUGCCAAGCAUUAGUAUUCCAGUGUAAAGACCAGAACUUCACUGUGAAUGCCACAGAAGUGCGUCACUAACAGAAGGCGCAUGACAGUUGAACACGCAGAGCAGCUAAAGCCAUUUCCUCCAUCUCACACAGAAUAGAAAUACUGAGAGUGAAGAUUAUGAGAAUAGUGUGAGGAGAAUGACAAAUGACAAGCCCUAGCAAUACACUUGUUUGGUGGCAUUAGUGACGCAGUUCUGCCUUGGAAAAAGUAACAGCAGGUGAUUGUCUGGGCUUUGUGCUGGACUGGUGCUAAAUGUUAGAAUUUGCUUUAAUGGGAAGCUGAGUGAACAAGCAAAGUAUUUCAUUUUGCAGAGGAAAUUCUCUUGCUCAGCAGCAUCCUAACAACGUCUACUAUUUAGCAUUUUAUAUUCUGUUUGGAAUAAAGAGGUUUUAACCUCGCAGCUUCAAGCUGUAUGGUUCUGUUCUGGCUCCGGGAAUUACUACUGUAGCAGUGUGUUUAGCAAUCAUAAAAAUUCUCCAGAUAGAUUUAUUUCCUUUCAGAAAAUAUUAUGAAAUAAGCUGGACUAGAUUCUGUGCUCUGCCUUACUAAAGUCCCUUUAAACCGGAUGGGGGAGAACAGAAGGGAAUUCUUCCUGGACUACGCAAUUCCAGCUACUUUCUGAAUUGGAAAGGCAUGUUUAGACAUUCUUUACGCAGAGAAAAAGGAAGGUGGAAGCCAAGGAAAGUAUCUGGAACAGCAAAGAGAAACAGAAUUAAUUACUAGCUGAGUAUCUGUAAGUAUGCCACGCAGGCUCUCUGUGCUCCCCUGCCUUUGCGCUGUGUUAGUAAGUCUUGAUAAUGUGAAAAAUCAGCCCCUUUAUAAACAUUUUUUUAAUUACUCUUCUGCUUUUUUUUGGGUGUUAAGGAGCAUCUCUGGAGACAAACACUGUGACUCUAGGCACGGCAUCACACCACACUCUGCCUCAUUCAUCCCUACCCUUCUUCCAGGCUAAGCCUCUCACAGUUAUUCACAGUUGGGAAAAAAAGCUCAGAAAAUAGCUCUUACUGAACAGUCUGGUAGUCGGACUGGGCUUUGGAUUCAGAGUUUAAAUAGGAAAACAAGUAAGAGAAUCAGUGAAAUGAACAUUUUUCCUCCUCGUUCAACAUGAAAAAGCGCUCAUUUCCUUUUCUUUCAAAAAUAUUGGAAAGACAUCUAGAGUCCAAAGUACUCAACAGGGAUUAAGCUGAGGAAUAAAUAAUCCUGAAGCAAACUGAACACAAUCUUUUCCCAAGCAAAAUGAAACCCCAAAUGGCUUCUCGCUCCAGGAUGAUAAAAACUAUUAUAAAAUCGUUUUGAUUAAAAACGGAACCAGAAGACAAUCACGUAAAAUCCUAUCUAAAAGCAACAACGGAAGGUUUGCUUUUAAGGUGUUCCAAAGGCAGGCUGCCUUGUUCACAUGCUCGCUGUGACUUUCCUUCCUGCAUUUACGAAUUCCUUCCUGGCACACGAGGCGAACAGGUGUGAGCAGCGCGAGGUGGCCGUGGGCCAUAACCCGCAGGAACUCGCUGGCCCCUGCGUUGCAGCAGGGCUGAGACCCAGCCAGACGGUGACCAGGCGCCGUGCCUCCCUAAUACGCUGCCAUUAUCGCCGACGCUGAGAUUCCAUACAUUUGCAUUAUUUACAUUUGCUUAGGGCAGGAGUCCCAGCUGGGAAAUUCCACGUGGUCGUCCGUCUCCAUCGCGUACAAUUACAGUUAGAAAAGUUCUCCGUGACUAAUCCAGCAUCCUGAAAUGGUUUUCAGCAAGCUUUUAAAUACUCUUAGUAAUCAUUUUAGAGCGCUCCCGCUCAUCUGUAUCAAUAAAUCGUUUAAAAGGGUCUUUCUGUUGCCUUUGUUUGUACAAAAUGAAUAAA